CCCCCUGGGGGAGAUUCCCCGGGAACUGGGGCCAAUGUCCGAUAGGCGAAGAUUUCUGGAAUGAGUCUUCACCCAAAAGGCGUUUGGGGCAUGCUCCCAGACGUCGCCCAAGGAUGGGGCCGCGGCCGAUCAGGUUGUUGGUGAGGUAACGGCUCACCAAGCCUAUAACCGGUACGGGCCGUGGGAGCGGUAGCCCGGAGAUGGGCACUGAGACAAGGGCCCAGGCCCUACGGGGCGCAGCAGUCGCGAAAACUUCGCAAUAAGCGAAAGCUUGACGGGGCCAUCCCGAGUGCCAUCUGCUGAGGAUGGCUUUUACCUAGUAUAAAUAGCUGGGGGAAUAAGGAGAGGGCAAGUCUGGUGUCAGCCGCCGCGGUAAUACCAGCUCUCCGAGUUGUAGGGAUAUUUAUUGGGCCUAAAGCAUCCGUAGCCUGCUGAACAAGUCCCCUGUUAAAUCCAGCGACGAAUCGUUGGCCUGCGGGGGAUACUGCUCGGCUAGGGGGCGGGAGAGGCCGUCGGUAUUCUUGGGGUAGGGGUGAAAUCCUAUAAUCCCAGGAGGACCACCAGUGGCGAAGGCUGUCGGCUAGAACGCGCCCGACGGUGAGGGAUGAAAGCUGGGGGAGCGAACCGGAUUAGAUACCCGGGUAGUCCCAGCUGUAAACGAUGCAGGCUAGGUGUUAGGGCGGCUACGCGCCGCUCUAGUGCCGCAGGGAAGCUGUUAAGCCUGCCGCCUGGGGAGUACGGCCGCAAGGCUGAAACUUAAAGGAAUUGGCGGGGGAGCAC
rnacentral:rRNA from 1 species